rnacentral:lncRNA from 1 species
GGACUUUUCUUUUUCUGUUUGCUUACUUUAGUCUUUCUUUUCAUGAUAGAGUGGUUCCUCAAACAUGUCUGGUGGCUCUUGAGUGCCCUUUAUCUUAAAAGGGAGGCACUGAAAUGUUCAAUGCAAGCUCUGUGUGUAUAGGUUUAUGGAGCGCUGAGUUUCUCUAGGAUUAUGGGCCAAGACCAAGCUGCUCAAGUGGGAAAUCAUAUUAGUCAGAUUUUUGUUGCUAUGCCCAAAACACCUGUCAUAAGCAACUUAGAGGAAGGCUUUAUUUUGAUUCCUGGUUUCGGAGGUUUCAGUCCAUUCUUGCCUCCGAGGUGGAGACAUGGCUAAGGGCAGGCAUGGAAAAGGAAAGCCUCGUAGUUCAUAGCAGCUGGGAAGCAGAGAGGGGGAGACCAGAAGCAAGAAGUAUCCUCUAGAGCACGCCCCCAGUGACCCACUUCCUUCAACUAGGUCCCACCUCCAUAGCUUCCACUGCCUCCCCGUAGUUCAAUCAUCCAUCAAUGGUUUAAUCCACUUAUGAGGUCAGAGCCCACAUGAUCCAAUCACUUCCCAAAGCCCCAACUCUGAAUAUUUCUUCAUUGGGGACCAAGCCUUUAAUACAUGAAUCUUCGAGAGCACUUCAUAUCCAAACCAUACCAGAACCCACAAAUGCUAGUAGGUUGAAGUCUCCUCUUGCACUGGUGAUUACCAUCCUGUCCAGGCCUCUGGCUAGUUAUACUCUGUUCUCCCGACUCUUUACCCUACCCAAGUAUACAGGCUGCCCUCCAGCCAUACCGCUGGAUGACUCCCAGAAAUGAGCAGGUACAGGCAUCUGUGUGGGUGUUGGCCCAGAAUACCUUUUCUUACUCCCUUGCUUACCUAAUAGGGUUCUGCUGCAACCCCAUCUUUUGUCUCCACACUCAUUCCCUGGCUCCCAUCUGAGGGCAGAGGUAGCCUUUCCCUGUGGUCUACCCUCAGAUCUCCUGGAGGCUCUCCAUGGGUAUCCCACUCCGCAAUCUCACGAUUUUCUGCUUGUUUGUGACCCGACUAACCCCAGUGCAUUUUUCUUGCUCUAUUAUCUGGUCCUGGUCUGGAAGUUCCUUUAGCACUGGUGACACUUCAGCAUCUUGGGG